CAUUAUCCACCAAAUUAUCUUAGUAACGAAGUCACACAGUUUAAUAUAAAAGGAUAAAAUCACGAGCAAUGAAUAUCAGUUACUGUUCAUCCACAACGGUCUGCAUAUCUGCUAAGUACGCCAGUCUUCUAUACCAAAUAUGAAGAACAUUGUUGUGAUUUCUGCGUUGGUGAUGGCAAUGGUCCUCAUCGCCCACAUUAACAACGUAGAGGCAGGAGGAUUCAGUUUAGGUUGCACCAUAUCUUGUGGAAUUUGGAACGCAUGCCGUGGCAAGUCCGCUCUUUCCGGCAGUCUUACACAAUGUGGACCCGAGCCUUCAGGUUGCCGCUGUACAUCAUUCGCUUGGGAAUAGACUAGAAUUUUAUAUUUAUUGUUAUAGAUAAGUAAAUUAUUUUUGCAAAAUAAAAAAUAUACCUUCGAAA